CUAGCUUGGCAUAUGGAAUUGACACCGUCAUCUAACUGGGGAUAAGUGCAUCACAACAGCUACCUACAAAUCAACAUGGACAACAUUGGAAAAAGCCUUGGAGGCGGUAAAGAUGCAAUAAAAACAAAGGCAACAGAGGUGAUCGAUGAUGCUGCUAAAACAGCCAAAGCACAGGUGGAUAAUCUCAUGGGACAGGCUAAAGCUGGGGGUGAAAAAGGUGUGCAGUGUGCCAAGAAAUCAGCAGGAAAUGCUGAAAAGGACGUAAAAGCAGCAGGCAAGAACAUUGGAUUUUAAGAAGGACACCUACACCUCCACCUCCACCAAUGUCUUAAGCGCCUGUGACUCAUUUAGUAAUGUGUUUAAAAUAAAGAUUGUUCUAAACUAUUAA